rnacentral:rRNA from 1 species
AUUGAACGCUGGCGGCAGGCCUAACACAUGCAAGUCGAACGAGGGGCGGACGGGUGAGUAAUGUCUGGGUAACUGCCUGAUGGAGGGGUAUAACUACUGGACACGGUCGCUAAUACCGCAUACCAUCAGAGGAGCCCAUAUGGGAUUCGCUAGUUGGUGGGGUAACGGCUCACCAAGGCGACGAUCGCUAGCUGGUCUACGAGGAUGACAAGCCACACUGGGACUGAGACACGGCCCAGACUCCUACGGGAGGCAGCAGUGGGGAAGAUUGCACAAUGGGCGCAAGCCUGAUGCAGCCAUGCCGCGUGUAUGAAGAAGGCCGUCGGGUUGUAAAGUACUUUCAGCGGGGAGGCGUUACCCGCAGAAGAAGCACCGGCUAACUCCGUGCCAGCAGACGCGGUAAUAC